AUCAGCGCAAUAUGCGGCAAGUCCAGGCGGCUCAAGAGGCCAGGUUCCACGCCGUUCUGGAGGAGAUGGUGAUGGCCUUCAAGGAACCUCCUGAGCACCCAGAGCCUCCCGAGGCUCAGGGUCCCGGUGGCUCAUGAGGAGUCAUUCCUUCGAGGCGUGGCUUCAGGUGCACCAGCUUUACUUCAUCUACAGACCCAGGUGACAUCUAUGAAGUUCAUUUAAGCUGGGAGCACCCCUCGGGCUGCACUAUUCCCAGGCCACGUUGGUCCGUCCCUGUGGCAUGUAUCCCUUUUGCUUAUGUUCCUAAGUCUACCUCGCUGGGGGCGCCCCACGGGCUGCAUCAUCCCCAUGCCGCUCGGGCCAGACCCAGUGGCAUGUACCUUCUUGCAUUUAUCUCAGGCAAUCUGCUCUUCAUGAUUAACCUGCCAACUACUAUCACCUGCUUGAUCAUCACCCCCCUCGGGGCCCCUACACAGGCACGGCGCUGGUGCAUGGGUCCAUCCCUGCCACGACCGACAAAUCUGAGUGGUCGAGCUCUGACUCGCGGCACGCGCCGUGCAUGUCACCUCAUCAGGCCCUCAGUCCUUUCACUUCAUACGGACCAACCAGCGGCAGGCAGGCGGCAGUAACGACAAACCAUGUUUCUCCUUAUGCCUGUUCACAUGAACCCCGUGGAAAGGAUAGCAGGCAGCACCACGAGUCUCCUUUCCUCUCGCGUGACUCGCUUGCGUGUUAAAAGGGGGGCUCCUGAGCAUCGCGACUCAGGAGCUCUUACUGGCUCUCCAGCCCUCACCCCCUGGCCUUGACCACGGCAUCGCGACAUGGCAUACCAGCGGCGGCUGAGCUCGCUCGAGGGCUAGGACCUGAGGACAUAGAGCAUUAAGAGGGGCUCGGGAGAAGGAAAACUCGCACGGGCCGGCCUAGCUAUGUCACGUAAGUUGGCGCGCAGCCCUAGCACAACAUCGGGAAUCAUCCCCAAGUCAUCAAGAUAAGUUUCGCCCUCAGAUCAUCAAAACAUUUGGGCCUAAUAGUCACUCACCCCAUGCCGCAACCCCGUUGCGGCCAAGUCACCUUCCUUUAUUUCCUUCCAUGGCCGCUUGGGCGCUAAGGGGGACCUCCUGAGCAUCGCGCCUCAGGGGCUCUUACUGGACCUCGGGCCGCGCACCUCCUGGCCUUGACCACGGCAUCGUGACCUGGCAUACCAGUGAUGGCUAUAGCUGCCUUGGGACCGAGACCCGUCAGCGUAGAGCAACAAGCUAUCGCGAGGAAAGAAAGGGGAGGCCGAGCCUUAACGGGAUGUGCGUUCGUCAAAUCUUCAUAACAAGGAAAAAAGGUACCAAGGCAUUGCAUAUCCUUACAUGCCCCCACGGGGUGAUUCAUGAUCCUACGGAGGAAACAAAAGCUGAUGCUAAGGGGGAUCCUAUCUACAUCCUCCCGUGGCGAACGCCAUCAUCAACAGUGGGCCACGGGAGGCCGGCGCCAGCCCCAUCCAAGAUCAGCGGGGGCGGCGGCCGGACGCCGCAGCCUUGCUCCGUGCACGGCGAGAACUCGGGGGGACAUAGCUGUCGUCGCUCAUCUUCGGAGUCUCGUAGAGCUCAGGAGAACUGCUAGACUCCCAAGGGCUGCUGCUGCAGGAGUAGUCGCGGGCAAAGCGCGCAUCAGCCUCGCGCUCUUCUCCAGAGCAGCACUCCAGCCGGCGGCCCUCGGCGUCGAAGACCUUGAAGAGAAGCAUGGAGGCACCGUCGUACUCGAAGUGGAUCGUGAGGGCACCCCUCGCGCGACAGAACCGUGCAAUCUCGCCCCAACCGCGAAUCAUGAAGAUUUUGCCAACGGGGACCACUUCGAUCUUCGCUCUGAUCGCUGGAGCGCCACAAUCGGCAUGUUGCAGCCAGAACUCGAGAGGCCCCCUCAGUGGCAUCACAUCAGAGAAGAACCGUGGGAAGCGGAUCCAGGAGUUCGAAGGCAUCGGCGUCCACCGCACUGGCUCGCGCGAGGAGUUCGCCGCACGGACGGCCCGCGUCGCCGAGGCGCGGCGACCCCGGGUGCGGUGUGGGUGACGCUGCUCGCCACUUCGUCCUCCUGAGCCUACGGCUUGGGCGUACAAGGGUAGUGGGUACCCCGGGGGAGCCUCUCGCACAAAGGCCUUGCCACCACCUCCAACGCCGCCUCGUCAUGGCGAUGGAUCGACCUCUUCUUUGGUGGGAGUUGCUCCGGGGCAUCCCGGGGGGCUUUCCCUUCUCCUCGGCGGAGAAUCUUCUGAUGGGCGCCAUUGGAGCAAGCAGUGGAGUGAGAAGGAGGAAGCAAGCAAGGAAGAGAUGGGCAACGGGGGCACUUGCAUGUCGCAUGGACUUGUCAAGUCGUGUAGUCGCCGAAGCAGCAUGGGGAAGCGAAGACGCCCACGUCCAAUCAACCGCCACGCGUCAACCGAGGCCGCAGGCUUUUGGGGCCCGCGGUGCUUCGAGCUUGACCCUUGGCUUCGCCGCAAAGCCAAGCCUGCAUGCACCUUGGGCCCGGGGGCUACUGUCGGUGUUCUAGGAGCGGGGGUUCCCAGACUUGCCUGCCUGCGGCCCGCUGCGAGGCUGAGCCAGUAGGCCGUACGGCCCAUCUUCACCAACAAAGCACCCAAGACCCUCGCGAGGGGCCAAGCCUCGCGAGGCGGACGACACAAGACCUCCUCUGGAGUGGCCUAGCUAGGCAGGCUCACGAGGAGCGGAGAUAUCAAGGCGAGGCGAACCUCACGAGGCUCUCGUGAUAUGAGCCGUGACGAUCGAUGCCAGGCGGGCGUCAGCGCGCACAACGUCCUUGUUUCCUCUUUGGUGCAAAGGGGGCAAGUGCAGCCCCGAAGUACCGAGGCCUUAGGCAAAGGUUGCCAUUUUGGUGCAACAAGACCAAGACCAUGGACUGCAAGACAGAGGUCAUCAUGGAGCCCAGAACAGCGCCACCACCAGAACUUUGUGCAGGCGAAGACUACUUUUGUCAGGAUAGCUUGUACUAGCUGUCCCCCUUCAAAUUAGCCCACCAUUGUUGGAUCCCUUCCCGCUCGAUAUUUGGGAAGAGGACCAGGGCCUCUAUAAAUAGGACUAGCCACCAUAGUGGAAAAAGGGAGAAAGAGGAGAGAGGGGACGAUCUCAUCUUUGCUUGAAAGAGACCACCGCCAUACACACAAGCUCACCAAGCUCAAGAGCGCCCCAACCUCAGGAGGCCAUUAUUCCUAUGUAUUGUUCAUCAUCAUCCCAAGAGGCAAUCCACCACCACACUGGAGUAGGGUAUUACACCACAACGGUGUCCCAAACCAGUAUAAACCCUGUGUCCAUCUGUGUUGUGAGUUCGUUGAGUUCGUCCGCGAGAUCCUCGCAAGCUAGAGCGUAGAUCGGUUGAAGGGAAAGACUUCGCGCACACCCAAGUGUUCGAACCUUAAGGGUUUGCCAGGACCCCAUACCCUGACAACAAGUACCCCGAGAACGUCUGUACCUCUACCGUCGUCGUGGAUCCAACAAAACCAAGUGUACAACUACCGGUGCCCCGAAGGCAUUGGAUUCGUCAAGUACCUCUCUGAAAAUGAAUGUGUACCACUACUUCCACUUCCGUCACAAAGGACCGAUAGUACCACUACUUCCCAUGAUGGCCCGUGAACGAUUACACCACUUGAUCCAAACCACCCCGGAUGCAUGCUUCGACGGAAUAACCCAGAGACGCCCGUGAACAAAUGCUUGUGUGAUGCAUGAGAUGCACCGCUUGUUUCACCCUGCCCGAGUUGUCAUUGCACAGUCCUCCUCAUUUGCCACGCGUCAAACUUUGGGAACCUAGUAAGCGGGAUCACCCGACCAUAUUUUUCAUGUUUCGUAGAUCCACACUUUUGUUUGCACCGACAUCUUGAUGAGUUGUCGGAUCAUCGGAAUGUUGCCGUGGCACCAUCUCCGUUGUCGUUGCCGUGGCUUCCCUUUCGUUCCGCCAUGGUGACCAAAUGCUGCAUAACAUGCUCAUGUUAACUUUUUCAUAAACAUUGCAUAAAACUUGUAUAUGUCAUUCGCAUCAUGAUAACAACAUUUAAAUGUUUAAAAUUGUUGUUUGCAUCAAAUUGCUAAUUGACAUGUGGGGAUUUACCGGAAUUGUUAUUUGUUAUUUCCGGCCACAUUUAAACUUGCCUAAAUAGUUAGUAUAUUUAUGCCUCACCUCUUGCCAUGUUAAACAACAUUCAAUAUUGUUGAGUACCUAAAUGGGAGUGAACUAAAUAAUCGAAUGUGGUGUUUCAUCAACAUGCAUCUUGUUACAUGUUGAGCUCCACUUAACUUGUAGUUUUGUUUGUGCACUUUGCCAUUGCCAUGCAUAUCUAAACCGGACAUGCAUCAUCCUUGGUUGUGCAUCAUGCCAUGGCUAUGCUUGUGCCUUUACCAUGUUGCUUGCUUCUUUCCAGUUUGCUUCUCUCAUUAGCUUCGGUUUCAUUCCGGAGUUGUGGGGAUUCGUUCAACUACGUCUGUUUUGUCUUCUUCAUGGACUCAUUCUUAUUCCUUGCGGGAUUUCAGGCAAGAUGACCAUACCCUCGAUAUCACUUCUAUCUUUGAUUGCUAGUUGUUCGCUCUAUCGCUAUGUCAUGCUACCUACCACUUGUUAUAUCAUGCCUACCAUGUUGCCAUGUCAAGCCUCUAACCCACAUUCCUAGCAAAGUGUUGUGUGGCUAUGUUAUCUCUUUUGCUCAUCCCCUCUUAUAGCGUUGUUAGUUGCAGGUGAAGUUGAAGAUUGUUCCAUGUUGGAACAUGGAUAUGUUGGGAUAUCAUAUUAUCUCUUAUUUAAUUAAUGCAUCUAUACACUUGGUAAAGGGUGGAAGGCUCGGCCUUAUGCCUGGUAUUUUGUUCCACUCUUGCCGCCCUAGUUUCCGUCAUACCGGUGUGAUGUUCCUUGAUUUUGCAUCCCUAACACGAUGAGGGGUAUGGGACCCUCUUGACAGUUCGCUUUGAAUAAAACUCCUCCAGCAAGGCCCAACCUUGGUUUUACAUUUGCCUAACAACCUAUAACUUUCCCUUGCGGUUGCAAACCCGAGGGUCAUCUUUAUUUUAACCCCCCGAGCCAGUGCUCCUCUAGGUGUUGGUCCGAAAUGGGCAACCUGCGAGGCCACCUCGGGGAAACUUGAGGUCUGGUUUUACUCAUAGCUUGUCCUAUCUAGUGUGCCCUGGGAACAAGAUAUGCACAGCUCCUAUCGGGAUUUGUUGGCACAGUCGGCGGUCUUGUAGGUUUAGUUCUACCAUUGUCGAAAUGUCUUGUGCAUCGGGAUUCCGAGUCUGAUCGGGUGUCCCGCAAUGGAGGAUUGUCUCCGUGGACCGUGAGCUUGUGAUGGGCUCAGUUGGGACACCCCUGCAGGGUAUGAACUUUCGAGAGCCGUGCCCGCGGUUAUGUGGCAGAUGGGGAUUUGUUAAUAUCCAGUUGUAGAGAACUUGACACUUGACUUAAUUAAAAAGGUUCAACCACGUGUGUAGCCGUGAUGGUCUCUUUUCGGUGGAGUCCGGUAAGUGAACACGGUUUUGGUUUAUGUUUGUUCGUAAGUAGUUUCAGCAUCACUUCUUGAUCAAUUAUAGCUUCACGGACGUUGCGUAGCUUCUCACCUUACUCUUAUUUGCGUAUGUUAGCCACCAUAUUUUCUUAGCGCUUGCUGAAGCUCCACCUCAUUACCUUAUCCUACUCAUAAGCUUAAAUAGUCUUGAUCUCGCGGGUGUGAGAUUGCUGAGUCCUCGUGACUCACGAAUACUUCCAAACAGUUGCAGGUGCCGAUGAUACCAGUGCAAGUGAUGCUACCGAACUCAAGUGGGAGUUUGAUGAGGACCUUGGUCGAUAAUAUGUUUCAUUUCCUGAUGAUCAGUAGUGGAGCCCAGUUGGGACGAUCGGGGAUCUAGCAUUUGGGGUUGUCUUCUUUUAUUUUGGUUCCGUAGUCGGGCCUUGAUUGUACUCUGGAUGAUGUAUGUUUAACUUGUUAUUUGUGUGUAUUGGCGAUUGUAAGCCAACUCUUUGUCCCUUUCUUAUUCGGUACAUGGGGUUGUGUGAAGAUUACCCCUCUUCCGACAAAACCACCAUGUGGUUGUGCCUCUAAGUCGUGCCUAGACACGUGGGAGACAUAGCCGCAUCAUGGGCAUUACAAGUUGGUAAUCGGAGACAUCCCCAACUUAGGAGCCCCUGCUUGAUCGAAUCGCUGAUGUUGUUGAGUCUAGAACAAAAAUGUUUUGAGUCUUAAGAUUAUAUAUAUCGGAGAGUAGGAUUCUUUUUACUCCUCAUUCCCUUCGUCGCUCUGGUGAGGCCUCCUGCCAUAGAUGUUUUGACUUUCCUCUUCUCAAUUUUCAUGAAUUUUUUUAGGAUCACGCGGGUAUCUUGGGAUCGUUCUGAUAUUCUUGUGACGAGAACAUUGUUCUUGGUGCCUCCUGACAUUUAGGGGUUGUGGCAGUGUCCCGGGGAGUUGAGCUCCGAGGUGUUGUCGUCACAAUUUUAUCGUUGCAGUUCUGGAAUACCUGAGUUCGCCGACAUCAAAAAUCUCUUUUAUGCAGUUGUUGGUGACAUAACCUCGAUGCCACCCAGUACUGGGGCGGGAGUUCGGGAGUAUUGCCGUAGCUUGUAUAACGUAUGCUUUUCAAAGGUUGAGGUACAUGAUUUCUGAAGUUUUCUUGGUUAUGUGUUGACAGAUGGAUACAGUUGGAGCGUAGGGCUUGUUAGUUGUGUGAUAUAUAUUGUGCCUCCCUAUAUCCCCAACACCAGAUUGCAUAACCAGAAAGUUUUGGGAGUUUUAGAGGUGGGAACUCAAGUAGCUGCUAGAAUAUCUUUCCGACAAAUGCAUGAUAUGGGAUUGGGUAAAUCUCUAUCAUAUGUAUUUGUUCCAUCUUAUUUUGCAAGACAAAUCCUUUGUUUUGUUUUGAGUUGCGGUAUUCGAGUUGCUUCAAUGUCAAGUGUUGAUUCCAUACCAUCGCUAUGGUGUUCUCAUACUUCUAUAUGAGUAACAAUCCUUCUUGCUCAUCAGGAUUGUCAUCCCAUUUCUUCUCCAACCGGUGUGCUUCUAUUGAAGAUAAUCCUAUCCUUUCAAUAUUCGCAAGAUCACCUCUCAGUUUUCCCAACGUUGUUCGUUUCAUCCGUCCCCAAGUUGCCUUUGUUUUUCCCACCCUCCCACCCUUUUCUUCAAGGACUAAGAUAUCUUAAUCAAGUAUCCAUCUUAUUGAUGUGAAGUCUCUUCAUUCUUUUCUUCUAUGUUCUUAUCCGGUGAUUCUCGGGGAGAUACUAACGGAGCUUCAAGUUUAUUAUUCUUCGUUCUCUUUUCUUCUCCGGUGGAUUAAAUUCAAGCUUUGUAGAUCAUAUCCUUUCCCCGUUACAAAUUUUUUCUCAUUUCGGUGCACAUCUUAAUCAUCCACUUCUCGUCAUUCAUUUGUUCUAUGCUGAAGAUAUCUCAGAAGGCUCGUCUUUUUAUUCAAGAUCCGUUCAAGAUAUCUCGAGGUUGUUAUCUAUUUUGAUUCAUUUAAUGCAACCGGUGCAAUAUCUCUUCAAAAUCAUUCCAACGGUGUUUCUCUUGAGUGGGCCCUAACCCACAGGUCUUUUCCCAGGAUCUUACCUGACUCUUCUAAUUCUUUUUGGAGUGAUUCUCAAAUUCAUUUCAAGUUUGACGUAAGAAUGAAUUAUCAUCAGUCUUAUGCCUUUCUCCAAGAUCUUUCAAAUUCUUUUCAUCGUUGGUUCAACCUUUCCAAUUUUCAUUCCGGAGUGCCUCAAUAAUUCAUGGUGGUGUUUCUCAUCGUCAUUCUCUGCAUUUGAAUAUUGAAGAAGAUUUUCUCUUAAAUCUUGCUCCGUUCUCUUGAAGAUGCGUAGUUCAAGCUUGAUGCCAUCCUCUCAUAAUUGUUUCCGAUUGUGAGAAUUCUUUUCACCCAUCCGGAGCAAUUCAGGAGUCUUUUCAGUUUGAUUCUUCAGAGCCCAUCAUCUCAAAAUUAUGCAUUCUAGCUUUCAUCUAUUGUUCUCCAAAUCUUACCGAUGCAUCGUGCAAAUAUCCUCUAAUCAGUUCAUGAUCUCUUCGUUCAUUUGUAUCUAUAUUCUCUCAAGUAUCUUCGUUCAUUUUCUAAUUCUUCCCGAUGUUUCACUAUCUUUUCUUUGUUCAAUUCUUACGGUGGUUCAUUCAAGAUCACUCUUCCUUCGUGAUCAUAUCAAUUCAUUCGUUCUUUCCUAAAGCCUACCGGUAUCAAGACCUUCCCAAGUUUGUGCAAUCUCUCUCUUUAAUCCUUUUUCAAUGAGAAUAAGUUGCAUGCCAAUUCCGUUGCUUGUUAUCAAUUUAAGUUGAUGAAGGGUAAGCAUGACAUAAUUCUUAUCAUCGAGGUGAUUCAAUUCCUUAUCCUGGAGGCUCGUCAAAAUUCCCGGAUCAAGUGUUUCAUCCUUUUCUUUCCAGAGUCUCAAGCUCUCAAUUAUAUCAUCGCGAGCUCCAUCUAAAUCAUUGCAAGGCUUCACCUUGUGUUUUCAUCUUCUCCUUCUUUUUAUCAUCCUUUUAUUACCGGAUUUCGUCAUGAAGGCUCUACAUGGUGGUUCAUCAAGGAUUCUUUUCAUUCUUCAAUUGUUCUUCAAGAUUUCUCUCGAAGUUAUGAUCCGCCAAGCUAUACUCUAAAAUAAACAUGGUGUUCAACACAUGUAUUGUUUUGAGUUGUUCAAGCAUUCUUCAUCUUCCACCCGAAGUGCAAUUCUUCCUACAUUAUCUUUUGAGGUGGUGUUAUGUCACUCUUGACAAUUUCCUUCAUGUUUCAUGAUUCACAAGUUGUUAGGAAUGAGAUAAUUAAAUUCAUUAAUUACUUCGUUGGAGUAUCUUGGUCCCUAUUCAAGAAUUCAUCCGAUUAACCAGUUAACUUGUCGAUUAAUCCCUACUCAUAGGGUCACCAAGUAGUCGAAAAAUCGAAAAAUCGUCUGAUUAAUUGAUUAAAUGGCCGAUUAACUUGCCGAUUAGCCGAUUAAUCCCCUACUCGCUAGCCAACCGAGCAGGUACCAGUUAACGAUUUCCUCAACAAUGAUCUUGGUAUAGAUUUCACCUAAAGCCUUCCAUUGGGAAUGUUGCUAUUGUGGUGCUUAUCAAUGAUCCAAUCUUCUCCUUCCUAAAUCGGUGAAGAAGUUUUUCAUCUCUUCUUUGUUCCCGGUCAAUCAUUGCUUUCGGUGGCAGAAUUUCACCUUAGUUUUGAGAUGUUUUCCAUAAGCCCACUACAAGAUUUUUCGUUUCGUUGUUGUUUUUCCAUCAACUCCGUUUUAACCUUGUUUGAAGGGUGCUUUCCAAGCUCAUUUGUGGCAGAAGUUGUCAUUUUAUUCUCCAUUUUGUUAUUGCAAUGAUAUAUAUUCUAUUCUUCCUUCCGGAGGCAUUGUGAUGUUACUCUCUUCACUCAUCAUCUCGGAUUGUGAGGACCAUGUUCUUUUCGUGCUUAUCCAUUCAACCGGAGUGUUGUCUGAAAUAUUUCUUACCCCUUGUGCCAUUCUUUCAAUAGUUCCAGAGGAAGUGUGUUGUUGAUUUCAUCAAGUAUCCUCUUAUCUGGUAAAGUUCAUGUUCAAUUCCUUCCAUUUACAGUCAGACUGUUGUCCAAAUUAUAUCAUUCUUAUUCCUUCUCUAUCUUUGUUUUAACCGGAGUGGUUUCAAUAUCUAUCUUAUCACUUAACAUGUUGGUUCUCAUCGUAUACCACAUUCCUCUUAUCUAACUGAGUGUUCGCAAUCUCGUUCAUCCCCAUUGCAUUCUUCUUUCAAUUUGUUCAACCUCUGAAGGUUCAUGGUUUCACUCGUUUGUCGAAGAAGCAACUUUGUUUUGCCUCUUGCUCUUCCGCUUCUCUCUGGUGCCAUCGCUAGAUCUUAGGGCGAGAUCUCUUAUAAGUGGAGAAGAGUUGUGACGCCCCAAGACCAGAGCUGCUGAUGCCUUCCAUGGCUUCCGAGAUUCGUCGUGUGAUUUAUUUGGUUCGUUGCAUUCAUCUUUGCAUCAUGUGCAUUGCAUCAUGCCAUCUUGCACCCCUUUUAAAAAACCCAACUAAAUAAAUUGCAUAGAUCAUUCGAUCUAUUUAAAUCGAGGGAACUCACAUGGUGGUUUCUCUUUAAAACAUACCCUCCCAAUAUUUAGGGAGCUAUUAUAAAGUAUUCCAUUAAUUUGGAAUUAUCCGCAACCCACUUGCAUGUAAAAUCCUUGACCUUCCCUUCUUCCCGUUUUCGACUCUCAAACUUUGUCGAUCAACUUUUGUCCCUUAUCCAAGCUCCACCAAAAAUUUGAACAUUUUUGGCCACACCAAACCUAGUCCCAAUUCAAAACCAUUUGAAUUAUAUUCAAAUGAAUUUGAAUUUAACUCCUGCAAUCUUGCCACUUCUAUUUUUCUGUGAACAUGAACGUUUUUGUGAGUCCAGAAAAAUUACCCGCAUGCUCAAAUUCGUUCCAUAAACCCCUCUUCCUUUUUUCCUUUCUCUCUAAUGCUUUCUGUUAAAGUAGUAUUAAGAGGGGGAAGAGAGAAGCCCAGCCUAGCCGGCCACUUGGGCCUCCUGCAUCAGCAGCUAACCAUCCCCGUGGCCCAUCUGCACUGAGGCCCAGUAGGCGCCCUAUCAACCCUGACCCUCCUCUCGAUCUCUUCCUCUUGUUCCCCACUCCCCUGCCAGCCACUUGUCCCGAUCGGGAUCGUCCCCGAUCCCCAUCUCACCCUCUCCCUCGCGAGCACCUCUCCUUAUCCUUCCCGUUCCUGAGAGCCCCUCCACCUCACGACCUGCCGACCUGCCGCCCCGACGAACCUCGCCGCUGGCGACCACCCAGGCCGGAGCUCCCGCCGCUGCGCCAUGGAUGGCCCCGACCUCCUCGUCCCUGCGCUCAUCUCUUGGCGCCCGAGCACCUCGUCCCCGCCAUCUGGCAUCCGCGCCCGCAAGACCUCGUCGCUGCCUUGCACCAGCGUGCGCCACCAUCGGCAGCUCGUCGCUGGAGACCCACCAGCAGGUCACCAACAUUGCGCCCCGCCAUCUUCAGCCUCGUGUCGUCCAAGCUUCCGUCGCCGCUUGCCUCCUCUGUCGCCCUUGUUGCGAGCCGUCGUUGCCUGGAUUUGUCAUACCCCUGCUUUGUCCCCGUCAUCACGUCGUCGGCAAGCUUCGAGGCCAGCACCGCUGCCUAGAGCUUCUCCACCCAGAGACCUCCUUCGUCUCGUCUGUGUCGCUGGAGACCAUCGCCAAGUCCCUUGUCGAGCUCUGUUUUCCUCUGCCGCUGCGCGUCCGUUAUGUCACCUGGUGGAGGAGAUGACCAACAGCCAAGCCGCAUGGAGCAACGACCGCACGUUGACCACGCCCUUCCUUCGCCUACACGGAGCCGCGAGCAAGUGCCAAGACCCGCUUCGCCCAUUGCCUGGUUCAACCUUCCGCGUGGGCCCCGCGUCGCCUCUGCCAGCCAUGUCUUGCUGCUUGCAUCCGCCGAGCUCUUCUGUCCUAUUUCUCCACAUCUGCCUACUUGCAUCUAAGAUGCUUGUUGCUGUUUGAACCGAAGUCCGCCAAGUUUGACUAAGUUUUGCUGCCCCCAUCGAGACCGCCAAGUACCACCAAGUUCCUAAGGGAUGCGCCAAGUCCCCAGCGAGACCGGUUUUCGUCAAGUUCGACUACCUGACUAUGUCCUCGGAGUUGAACUGCAAGCGCCAAGUACCCCACCAGCAAGACCACACGGACGCUCGAACGACUACAGACCGAAACGUCAAGUACCUCGUGAUACGUGUAUGACUACUGUCGCUUGGGUUCGACAAGACGCUGAGUACCACUAUGUUUGCCAUGUACAUCUACACCAAGACUGGACUGACAAGUAUCCCGAGAACGUCUGUACCUCUACCGUUGCCGUGGAUCCAACAAAACCAAGUGUACAACUACCGACGCCCCGAAGGCGUUGGAUUCGUCAAGUACCUCUCAGAAAACGAAUGUGUAUCACUACUUCCACUUCCGUCGUCGAGGACCGAUAGUACCACUACUUCCCAUGACGGCCCGUGAACGAUUACACUGCUUGACCCAUACCACCCCGAAUGCACACUUCGAAGGUAUAACCCAGAGACGCCUGUGAACGAAUGCUUAUGUGAUGCAUGAGAUGCACCGCUUGUUUCACCGUGCCCAAGUUGUCAUUGCACGGUCCUCCUCGUUUGCCAUGUGUUGAACCGUGGGAACUCGGUAACCGGGAUCACCCCACCAUCUUUUGCAUGUUCCGUAGAUCCACACUUUCGUUUGCACCGACAUCUUGAUGAGUUGUCGGAUCAUCGGAAUGUUGUCGUGCCACCAUCUCCGUUAUCGUUGUCGUGGCAUCCCUUUCGUUCUGCUACGGUGACCAAACGUUGCAUAACAUGCUCAUGUUAACUUUUUCAUAAAAAUUUCAUAAAACUUGUGUAUGUCAUUCACAUCAUGAUAACAACAUUUAAAUGUUUAAAAUUGUUGUUUGCAUCAAAUUGCUAAAUGACAUGUGGGGAUUUACCGGAAUUGUUAUUUCCGGCCUCAUUUAAACUUGCCUAAAUAGUUAGUUUAUUUAUGCCUCACCUCUUGCCAUGUUAAACGACAUUUAAUAUUGUUGAGUACCUAAACGGGAGUGAACUAAAUAAUCAAAUGUGGUGUUUUGUCAACAUGCCUCUUGUUACAUGUUGAGCUCCACUAAACGUGUAGUUUUGUUUAUGCACUUUUCCAUUGCCAUGCAUAUUUAAACCGGAUAUGCAUCAUCCUUGGUUGUGCAUCAUACCAUGGGAAUGCUUGUGUGUUUACCAUGUUGCUUGCUUCUUUCCAGUUUGCUUCUCUCGUUAGCUUCGGUUUCGUUCCGGAGUUGUGGGGAUUCGUUCGACUACAUCCAUUUGUCUUCUUCAUGGACUCGUUCCUCUUCCUUGCACGAUUUCAGGCAAGAUGACCAUACCCUCGAUAUCACUUCUAUCUUUUAUUGCUAGUUGUUCGCUCUAUUGUUAUGUCGCGCUACCUACCACUUGUUAUAUCAUGCCUCCCAUGUUGCCAUGUCAUGCCUCUAACCCACAUUCCUAGAAAAUCGUUGUUUGGCUAUGUUACUGCUUUUGCUCAGCCCCUCUUAUAGUGUUGAUAGUUGCAGGUGAAGUUGAAGAUUGUUCCAUGUUGGAACAGUGGAUAUGUUGGGAUAUCAUAUUAUCUCUUAUUUAAUUAAUGCGUCUAUACACUUGGUAAAGGGUGGAAGGCUCGUCCUUAUACCUGGUGUUUCGUUCCACUCUUGCCGCCCUAGUUUCUGUCAUACCGGUGUUAUGUUCCUUGAUUUUGCAUCCCUAACACGAUGAGGGGUAUGGGACCCUCUUGAUAGUUCGCUUUGAAUAAAACUCCUCCAGCUAGGCCCAACCGUGGUUUUACAUUUGCCUAACAACCUACAACUUUCCCUUGGGGUUGCAAACCCGAGGGUCAUCUUUAUUUUAAGCCCCUCCUGGGCCAGUGCUCCUCUGAGUGUUGGUCCGAAUCGGGCAACCUGUGGGGCCACCUCGGGGAAACUUGAUGGCUGGUUUUACUCGUAGCUUGUCCCAUCCGGUGUGCCCUGAGAACGAGAUAUGUGCAGCUCCUAUCAUGAUUUGUCAGCAUAGUUGGGCGGUCUUGCUGGUUUAGUUUUACCUUUGUCGAAAUGUGUCUGAUCGGGUGUCCUGCGAUGCAGGAUUGUCUUCGCGGAUCGUGAGCUUGUGAUGGGCUAAGUUGGGACACCCCUGUAGGGUAUAAACUUUCGACAGCCGUGCCCGCGGUUAUGUGCCAGAUGGGAAUUUUUUAAUAUCCGGUUGUAGAGAACUUGACACUUGACUUAAUUAAAAUAGAUCAACCGCAUGUGUAGCCGUGAUUGUCUCUUUUCAGCAGAGUCCGGGAAGUGAACACGGUUUUGGGUUAUGUUUGUUCGUAAGUAGUGUCAGGAUCACUUCUUGAUCACUUCUAGCUUCACGACCAUUGCGUAGCUUCUCACCUUACUCUUAUUUGCGUAUGUUAGCCACCAUAUUUGCUUAGCGCUUGUUGUAGCUCCAUCUCAUUACCUUAUCCUACCCAUAAGCUUAAAUAGUCUUGAUCUCGCAGGUGUGAGAUUGUUGAGUCCUCGUGACUCACGGAUACUUCCAAACAGUUGCAGGUGCCGAUGAUACCAGUGCAGGUGAUGCUACCAAACUCAAGUGGUAGUUCGCCGAGGACCUUGGUCGAUACUAUGUUUCGUUUCCUGAUGAUCAGUAGUGGAGCCCAGUUGGGAAGAUUGGGGAUCUAGCAUUUGGGGUUGUCUUCUUUUAUUUUGGGUCCGUAGUCGGACCUUGAUUGUACUCUGGAUGAUGUAUGUUUAACUUGUUAUUUGUGUGUAGUGGCGAUUGUAAGCCAACUCUUUAUCCCUUUCUUAUUCAAUACAUGGGAUUGUGUGAAGA
rnacentral:lncRNA from 1 species